CUUCCACGCCCUUCUUUUAUUCUACAUCCAGCGAUUAAAAGUUUGAGUUCCCCCCACCCUGGCGUGUCCUAUCCAGUGGGAACAACCCUCUCAGAGUCACAAACAAAGAACAGCUCACCAGCAAAGCCCCUGAAAUUGUAUUCUCGUGCCUGAUAAUCACCGGUAGGAUCUCCUUUCUAACAACCCUGCCCAUCUGCAAAGGACUUUACAGAUACCAGGAACGUUUAUGCUGCCAAAUAACAACAAAAGAACUCCCGUGAAACUAUGAGCUCUCCUUAAAGAGAAAGCCGGGAUUCCGGGCUUGCUCUCUUCCUAUAUUCUCCGCCGCCUUAUUAACUCCGUGGGUAUGUUACUAAUUUCAAAGAAGCAGGAAGAGGUGAUGGGAGGGAGGGGUAGGUAAAUACUAAUUCACAUGCCUGCCUGUUUCCUAGCCAAGUGCAGAAGGAUAGAUACCACACUGACUGCCGGACUAUGAGUCAGAGCCAUACCUUGGUUUGGAGAUAAUGAGGAUAGUAGUAAGUGUACUGGGGGUACAUUUGUGGCUGAUCCAGGCGUUUGCCCAUGUAGCUGGAAUCUUUAUCUCCGAGGCAGGGAACUGGAUGACAGGGUAUAGUGCCCCAGGCCGAGCUUCCUCUUAAGCCACUAUUCCUGACAGUCCCGAUGACUGAUGAGGCUUCGGAGAUUGCUCGUCUUCCACCACUCGCUAGUUCCAACACAGCAAGAAUAUAAAAAAGAAACACACCAAAAAAAAAAAAAAAAAAAAAAGGAGACCGGGAUCGGUGGGAAAAAUCAAACCCCACACACAGCUUCCCCAGAUCUUGUCUGCCUUCUCCCAGCUGCCGGGGUCCACUUGGGAUGAGGCAGUUUGCUCUCUACCAGGCUGCCUGUAUUGAUGUCAAUUGCCAGCGUUUGUAAAAGGGGAACGGAAAAAAAAAAUCAAAGUCCUUUCAACAUAACUCCGAAUCCUUGCAGAUCAGCUUCCUGUCUCCUGUUUGUCUCUUUCCUCACCUUAAAGCAAAAGCAAAUCAAGAGGAAAAGAAAGAAAGAGAAAGAAAGAGGAAAAAAGAAAACAGGGAGGGAACAGAAAGAAAAAGAAAGGGGAAAAGAAAAAAGGAAAAAAAAAAACAAAAAAACCUUGCACAGCUUAGUUGCUGCUGUCUCCCUCCCAGAGUGACAUGGUGAUCCGGGCUUGUCCUGUCCUUUCAUUCACUUCCCCUCCUUCCAGCCGGUGGGUGGAACCGAGAGAGCCUCUCCAGGGAGCGGCGUACGCAGUCCAGAAGGCUGCAGUAUUUCCUCCAAGAAAAAAAAAAAAAGGCUGCUUCAACCCCUGCUGCAAGCAAAGUUCCGAUUCCCUCUGCUGGCUAUCUCGAAUAGCAAAGCGAUUUUUGCAGUGAAGCUGCUGCCGCUGGAACUGAACCGGGGGACUCAGCUGCGGGCGGUGGAUUGUUUCUUAUCCUUCCCUCCAUCGGCUCCACAGACGAGCUGCCUUCUUUCCCUUUCGUGCCAAGUUGAAAGCCCACUCAUCUCUGAUGAAAGCACCUGCUGAUAUAGAGGGAACAUCUUGGAAGGCUGAACACAACUUCCUUAAAUAGUCACCUGGACCAGCCAUUGAUUUGUCCUGAUAAAGUGCCUGUGAAGAAUGACAAAUGCCCCGAUCCCAAUCGCUAUUAUCAGAAAAGUCCAAUUUAGAGAACCAGAUGAUUGUGCAAAACACAAGGGGACAGGAGCCGAAGGGCAGUGCUCCCCAAAGUGUGCUCCCAAGGCAGGCGCUGCCCAGCAGACUCUCACAUGCACCAGCAAGUGCGGGGAUCUGGAUUAUGUGUUCAGCAACUUUCCAGUAACUUCUCAGAAGAAUUGUAUG